rnacentral:rRNA from 1 species
UCUCAAAGAUUAAGCCAUGCAUGUCUAAGUACAAACUAUCUUAUAGUGAAACCGCAAAAGGCUCAGUACAACAGCUAUUAUUUAUUUGAUCAUAAACCCAGUUACUUGGAUAACUGUGGUAAUUCCAGAGCUAAUACAUGCAAACAACAUGGAUCCCUGUAGCAAUAUGGGUGAGACAUGUGCUUUUAUUAGAUUAAAACCAAGAUCCGCUUCACGGUGGAUUUUUUUUAGAUGAAUCUGGAUAAUUAUGGCCGAUCGUAUGGUCUUGCACCGACGAUAGAUCAUUCAAAUGUCUGCCCUAUCAACUAUUGAUGGUAGUAUAGAGGACUACCAUGGUUGCAACGGGUAACGGGGAAUCAGGGUUCGAUUCCGGAGAGGGAGCCUGAGAAACGGCUACCACAUCUAA